CACCCUGUAUUGAAAAAUCCCAUGCCGAGGCCUGGAGUAUUAGGCUGGGGUAAUUAAAUAUAGUUAAUGGUGGCAGCCGCGACACCUCGGAUCCGCUUCUGGUGUAGGAUUUGACGGGGGAGUGGUGGGGUUGGUUUGCGUUCUCUUCAGGAACUGGCGCCAUCAGAAAACAUCCAUGGAGCACCGGUCGGGUUCCAGCGGUCGGGUUCAACCGGUCGGGUUCCACCGGUCGGGUGGGGGUCUCCACCUCUUUGACCCAGUCAUGUGACCCAGUCAUGUGACCCAGUCAUGUGACUGAGGUAGGCUAUAGGAGCAGGGAUGUAACCAAGUCAUCAGGUGGGAGAGGGUCAUUUCUCCUCAAAGAGUGGACUUCUUGGCUUCCCUCUUUCACUCUGGAGCAUUCUCUUGGCUGCUGCUUCCUGUUUAGGCCGUGUUGGAGUUCAGAGGUUGUACUGAUCGCCCACAGAGCCAAGAGCUUCUCACUCUCUGUCUCUCUCUCUCUCUCUCUCUCUCUCUCUCUCUCUCUCUCUCUCUCUCGCUCUCUCUCUCUCUGUCUCUGUCUCUGUCUCUGUCUCUCUCUCUGCAAACAAUAUCCUCCUCACCCAUGCCAAGUGGUGCCGGCUCAUUGCUCCGGCCAAGAAGUGUCGCGUCAGCAGAAAAAGUGCAAUAACAAACUUGUGAAAACACUCCAGGAGGGACUACUUUCCGCCAUCUGAGUUGCUGAGGCGCAAACAUCCAAUUCAUCCGAUUCUCGGGGCCAUCCUGACAGAGACGGGGAGAAUCUAUACCGCCUGCAAACACCCCACCCCACCCCACCCCACCCCACCC
rnacentral:lncRNA from 1 species